GUGUGCCUGACAGCGCUCUAACCUCACUGACCCACCAUCGUCAUCUCCUUUAGCGGAGGCGCGAGCAGAUGUCCCAGGACGUGGCACGCUCCGAGGGCUCAGGCAAUUGGGACAAUGCAGCCGAGCAGAGGGCAACAGGUGCGCCUCUGGCAGAUAGAGGCUCUAAUCUCACCCUAUGCGAACUCUGGCACUCUCGACCCUCCUCGGUGCCCAUCACCUCCUACCCUUCCACCAGUUGUAGCUUCCAGCCGUUGGGGC